rnacentral:rRNA from 1 species
UACGGAGGGUGCAAGCGUUGCUCGGAAUCAUUGGGCGUAAAGCGCACGUAGGCGGCCUCACAAGUCGGAUGUGAAAUCCCGUGGCUCAACCAUGGACGUGCAUUCGAAACUGCGAGGCUUGAGUAUGGAAGAGGGUCGCGGAAUUCCCGGUGUAGAGGUGAAAUGCGUAGAUAUCGGGAGGAACACCAGUGGCGAAGGCGACUAUCUGGGCUGAAACUGACGCUGAGGCGCGAAGGCUAGGGGAGCAAACAGG